CAGCAGCCGCGGUAAUACAUAGGUUGCAAGCGUUAUCCGGAUUUACUGGGCGUAAAGCAAGCGCAGGUUGAUUAGCAAGUCUGGUGUGAAAUGCGAUAGCUUAACUAUCGUAUGCAUGGGAAACUGCUAGUCUAGAGUACAGUAGGGUGUUUUGGAACUCCAUGUGGAGCGGUGGAAUGCGUAGAUAUAUGGAAGAACACCAGUGGCGAAGGCGAAAACAUUGGCUGUAACUGACACUUAGGCUUGAAAGUGUGGGGAGCAAAUAGGAUUAGAUACCCUAGUAGUCCACACCGUAAACGAUGGAUAUUAAAUAUUGGUACUUGAUGUAUCAGUAUUGUAGCUAACGCGAUAAAUAUCCCGCCUGGGUAGUACAUUCGCAAGAAUGAAACUCAAACGGAAUUGACGGGGACCCGCACAAGUGGUGGAUUAUGUUGUUUAAUUCGACGAUACACGAAGAACCUUACCUAGUCUUGACAUCCCCUGCAAAGUUAUAGAAAUAUAAUGGAGGUUAACAGGGUGACAGGUGGUGCAUGGCC
rnacentral:rRNA from 1 species